CGCUUCUGUUCCCCGUUUGCGCUCGGCGCUCACGACGUUGUGAACGCAGCGGUGAUAUGUACAUAAAAACAAUUUUAUCUGUGCUUGUGUGUGUGUGUGCGUGCGUGUGUGAGCGUGUGUGACAUCACGUUUUUUUUUUGUUUGGGUUGCACCCCGCCCUUCCUUGCUCCUCUCCCUCUUCUUCCCGUCUCUGUGUGCCCGUGUUCAAUGUACAGAUACUACCACGCCACUUCGACCUCUCGCUGUUUCUCUUUCGGCAUGGCUCUGUUCCUCUCUAGUGUAUAUGACGUGAUGAUGAAGGCGCGCGCACACACACACACACACACAGAAAGCAAUCGACGCUGGCCUGUUCUUCGGUUUUACCCUCUCCUUUUUUUUCACUCUUGUACGCUGUCUCUACUCGUCUUUUUUAGUUGUGCUCUCCUGUCGUCUCUCUGGGAGCCAUCGGAGACACGUCAUACGCCUCCCUCCAAUUCCCUUCAUCUCUCUCAACCCCCUCAAAGAAGAAAAGGACGAAUGCGGCGUACUGCAUAACGCUUGUGUGUCGGACUUGCGUUGUGCCCUUCUUCCUCCCUUUCUUGCCAGCGCGCGGCCGCACAUGUGUUGUUGUGCCCCCUGCGUCUUCACUACCUCGGCAGAGCGAUAGGGAACCGGGUGGACGCGGAAGCAGCAGCGUCUCUCUUUGGGCGCCAAAGAGGGCGUGCAUCUCUACAGGAUCCACGGCCGCAGCCCCCUUUCAAAUAUGUUGCAUGCGAGAGCAUUAAAGAGAGGAGAGGAGUGCACAUGCGCCUCAUGCCUCGGGCGCGCCUGUGCUCCCUAGCACUUCUGUUGUUGUCCCCUUUUCGGUUCUCAUGUAGAUCCACCGCUGGUGCACGCGCCCUUGCGCGCGCACGUGUGUGCGUGUGCACUUGAUCU
rnacentral:misc_RNA from 1 species